rnacentral:rRNA from 1 species
GGACUACAGGGGUUUCUAAUCCCGUUCGCUCCCCUAGCUUUCGCACCUCAGCGUCAGUUACCAGCCAGGACACUGCCUGCGCCUUCGGUAUUCCUCCGGAUAUCUACGCAUUUCACCACUCCACCCGGAAUUCUGUGUCCCUCUCUGGUCCUCCAGUCCGGCCGUCUUUGCGCCCCUCUCCCAGGUAAGCCGGGAGCUGUCAGCGCAAACUGACCGGACCGCCUACAUGCCCUUUACGCCCAGUAACUCCGGACAACGCUCGCCCCCUACGUCUUACCGCGGCGGCUGGCAC